CCUUCCCUUUCCUCCCCGCUUUCAGCUCCCCAGGCCCCGAGGCUCCUCUCGCGCCCCCUUCCAGGCUGGGCCUAUCGGCCCCUAUACGGACGCACCCCAUCCUCUCCGAGCCCCCAGCCCCUCCUCUCGGUGUUCCUCAUCCGUCACACCCAGUACCCUACCCGCCCAUCCUGCCCCGCACUUCGCGGGGGGCGGGCUUGGAUCCUCGAGCCCAAGGGGUUAAAUCUGAGGUCUGCGGAAGCCUCGCGCUCCCUUCCUAGUCCCAGGAUCUGUUCCUGGCUUGCUGCCCGCCCCAGGAAUGUGGGGAAUGUGCCUCCCCCAGAGGGAGGGUCCUGAUGAUGGAGGAGCCCCCCGCCCCCGUGUUUCCUUCUUGCCAGGGUUGAGUCUGGGCCGGGGAAGACUUGAGGGCAAGGGGCAGACGUCGAAAAGAAAAGGGCGGAGAGCUCGGACUUUGGGGUCCUGGGUGACUGAGGAUGAGAGUUGGGGCGACCUGGAGGGAGAGGGCCUGAGCUUGGAGCUCCAGCCCUGGUCGGGAGUUUGCAGACUGAGACCACUAAGUACUGAAAGGUUCUAGCACCGUGGUGAUGGAUGCACAACCCUGUAGACAUGCUAAGAGGAGUUGAACUGGAUGCAUCGGUGGGUCGCACGGCAUGGAAAUUACGUCUCCAUGAAGUUGUUCCAAGGAGCGAGAGGUGAGGGCAGCUGAGGCUGAGCCCUGGUCCCUGAGAACCAGCAGGAACCAAAGACCAGGGACACUGAGAGGGAGGAAAAGCCUCCGCCCGGAUCCCCAGGACUGGGCUGUGAACUCCCACUCAGGAUGUGAGCUGGAUCUGCCCACCCCCCAGGAAGGGCUGUGCUGGAUUCUGACCCAAGAGUCAGAACUGUGGCGAGGGGAGUGGGGACCGGGUCCUGCUCUGGGAGGGAACUGGGCAGGCUGGAGGGCUGGAGGGGGCCACCCUUGACCGUGAGUGGUGAAGGCCCCAAGGCAGGCGGAGAAAUCCAGCCCCAGGCCCACAGUCGUCCAGGCUGCUGCUGCUCACUCCCCAGACCGGCUCCGGAUUUCUGCUGCAGGGGUGGGCACUGUGAUGAAUGCAAUUAAUUAAUUAAUUAACCAGGCGGCUGAGGCAGCAGCUGAGGCCUGGGCUCUGGGCACGCAGGACUUCAAGGGGCCCCUUCCAGAGUCCUGCCCCACCCUGCCAUGGGCAGGGGGUCAGACCGUCAUAUAAGCUACGAGGUGGUGGUGGCAGGGAGAGGCUGGAAUCCCUGAGGAGGUGUCCAGGCCGGAAUCCCAGAGCUAGAUCCAGCCUCCUCCCUCAGGCCCAGAAGUUCAGGCCCAGAUUCUAGCCCAUAAAUCACUCUAUCUGUCCUCCCUGCCUUGGUCAACCCCUGCCUGCAUCUCAAGGUCUCCAGCUCUAUGUCCCUGUCCCCUAAAGUUCCCCCUAGGCCUUCACCACCACCCCCCACGCCGCCAUGGACGGAAGCCUGCAGGUCCAGUCCGCAGGGGCAGGAAGUGUGUUUGGGGACCCAGCUGACAGCUCCAUAGCACUGUCACCAGUCUGACUUGCCCUGGGAAGCGGAGGACAGCCGGAGCUGUCACAGCCACUCUCCCCCGGCGUGGUGCUGGCCUUGUCUCUGCCAAGGUCAGGGAGAAGCAACCGCCCGCACUGGACUGGACACAGUCCUCACUUGGGCCCAGUGCUCCUCCCGCUUCUACCCCUGCCGCGCUGACCUGCCAAACCCCAGCCGCACACUCCCUUCUCUCCUAACUCUCACUCUCCGCCGCUCCCCAGUGCCCUCAGGACAAAACCCUAGUUCUAACUCAACCUCAGCCUGGGCACCACAAUUCCUAUCUCCCUCUCUUUUGCUCCGUGCACCUCUCUGUGGGGCUUCUGACAGUGGGCAGCCCUGUCUGGACUCUGGGGACACUGAUUUCUGCCCCUGGGUCUGAAAUGCCAGUGGGGGGGGGGGAUAAGCAGGGUUCUAGGUGACAGAUGGUGGUCAGUGCUGUGAGACAAAAGAGAGCAAGAUCUAGGGAUCCUUGCUGUCCAUGUGGUGGUCAAGGAAUGCUUCAGUGAGCAAGAGGCCUGGAGGGAGGGAAGGCGGGAGCAGUAGAGACUGGUGCAGGAGUGCGAGCAGCAAGUGCAAAGGCCCUGGGACAGGACUCAAAUGGCAUUUAAGGAGCAGUGGGAAGGCCAGCCCAGGGGCGAAGAGGUGAGGAAAAGGGUAGAUAAAGGCAUGCAGCCUAUUUGAGCAACCGUGAAAUCAAGCUUUGUCCUGAAUGAGGAGAGAGCUUCAUCAGAGCAGAGAAGGGGCACGUGAUCUGCCAUAGCCACCCUUCGGGGACAUCCCGAGGGGCCCCUACCAUCUUCCUAGACCAGGGUGGGGCCCAGGGAGGAAUCCCACAUGGUCCAGUAGAUACUGUUGCAGAUAGGGCCUGCAGGAUUUUCUAAUGGGCUCCCUGUGGGGGAAGGGAGAGACAAGUCAGGAUGACUCCAAGGUUUUGACCCUGCACUCUCUCCUGAGACAGAAAUGCCUUAAAGUUGGCCUCCUUGCCCCUUCCCCUGGCUGGAACUGUCCUGUUCAUUCAUUCAGAACUGGAGACUGAGAAAGGUGGCAUCAGGGGAUGUCUUGGUUACUCUUCUCACACUGAGACAAAGCACCCGACACCCACAGUUAAAGGAGGAAAGGUUUAUUUGGCUCACAGCCUGUAGAGGUUUCAGUCCCUAGUCGGCUGGCUCCAGGGCAGGGUGGCGUGGCAGAGGGGCUUUGCAGAGGAGAAACAGUCUAUGGCAAGCAAGCAGGUGAGAGCACAUUGGCCCUCUUUCUGUCCUUUAUAUUUUAUGCAGGUUCCCCUAGGCAGGGAACCCUUACACCCUUAAUCCUAGCAUCACACACUCUAGAUCCAGCCACCUCUGACUAAGGCCCACUGAUGACCACGCAGGGCUUUGGGGGACAUCUACACGCAGCCGUGGCAGGUGGGAUUGAGCAAAUGGAACCUAGGGCCGCAUUCAUUCAGUCCUUACACACUGAGCAUCUGCCACCAGUCUGUCGCAGACCUGGUAGUGGCUGUGAACAGACAUCCCUGCCCUGGGGUGCUGGUGUCCCAGGAGGACAAGACACCAGGUGGCUGAAACAGGAAACGCAAGGAGACCCCACCCUGGGGGGAGAGAUCUGCUUAGGAGAUUUGCCCCAGGAAGUUGAAUGGUUCCGUUUGAUUUCUGGUGACACCUUCGUAGGCCACCUUGCUGUCUGCAAUCCAUUCUGUUCAGCUCACCCCCUGCCCUCAUACCUCCCUGGCUGAAAUCAACUCAUUCUCCAGCUGAAGAGCCAUCUAUGGCUCCCAUGUGCCUCCCCCACACCUCCAGGACCCUGAGCUCCUUGGCCCCACGCUGGUUUGCUAUUUCUGUGAUGGCUCAUGAAAGCACACAGUGGCUUUUCCCGAGUGCCCUUCCCUUUGGGCACCCUGAGGUGACAGGUCCUAGCAUCUAAGGGCUCUGGCAGGAGCUCAGAGGAAGCCCCUGUGUGGGAGGGAGCCUCUUCCUCAGCCCACCUGACUGACCCCCAGGAGCCCCAUCUGCUGAGUUUUGCCUGGAUUUUAUUUUUUGUUUUUUGUGGUGCUGGGGCGGAGGGCACACACCUGUAAUCCUAGCACUCUGGGAGGCUGAGGCAGGAGGAUCCCAAGUUCAGACCCUGUCUAAAAAUAAAAAAGAGCUGGGGAUGUAGCUCAGUGUGAAGGCCCUAAGUUCAAUCCCCAGUGCUAAAAAAAAAAAAUCAGUAAAUGAAACCCCUGUGGGCCCCAGAAAGUGCAGGCAAAACCAGAUGUGGCCCCAGGGGGCAGUGCAAACCCCUGGGGCUGGACCCACCCUGCCGGUCUGCAGAGAGUGCCCGGGGCCCCUGUCACAUGGAGGAAGCUGGGCUGGGGAAGCGGUCACUUGGCUGGGAAGGGAAGGAGGAGGGAGAGCCCUCAUCUGUCUGUCACAGGUUUGAGGCUCAACACCCAGCUUCCAGCCUCUUCAGAGGGUGCGUCUCUUUCCUGAGGUGGCUUAAGUGUGACGUGCUGUGUGUGUCACUGGAGGCCUUCACUCAUGGCCCCCUGUCGAUGUCCCCCAGCUCCCUGGAGAUGGGGCGGCACCCUGGGCCCUGGCGCAACCCGAACCUCAUCAAGGGGCACUUGUAAUUACAACAACCUCCAUGGCGUUUGUUUAACAAGCUCUGAUCUCCAGCUUCCUGUGGCCCCAUUAGUGCUUCACAAAUAUUCUUGAACCCUCAUAACUACUCCUAGGACACAGGGCCCUGUUAUUAUCCUGAUUUUAUAGCUAGGAAACUGAGGCACAGAGAGAGUAAGACUUGGGGAAGGCCACAACGCCAGGCAGUGGCAGAGCCAGGAUUCAAAAACACAAAGUCUGUGCCUGUGGUCAUCGUGCUGUACUGUCUUGCACGGCCCAGAAACAGUCUUCCUUAUUCCAGUUUUAUUAAAAGGGAGAACACGGAGGGGAUAUAGCCCAGUGGUACAGCAUUUGCCUGGGAUGCUCCAGGCCCAGGAUUCCACCCCAGCACUGCAGAAAAGAAAUGACGAGAAAAGAAGGGAAAAGGAAAGGAAAAGAAAGAGAAAA